rnacentral:lncRNA from 1 species
UGUACAAAGGCUGUCUGGCAGCUCUAAUAUUAGCAUCCACACUGGAGCCGCUUCUUGGAGGCGACGCCUGUUUGCAUCUCUGCGUGGUGCUGAUGCUGCUGAUAACAUUCUUACGUCUGAUGAACCAAGCUGCUAUAAGCUCGGUCUGUGCAUGUCAGUGAACCGGCUGGCAGAAAUGAGACAAAACACAAUUCACUCAUCUGAGAGCGCGAGGAGAGGAAAAAGUCGCCAACAUUUCUGUACAGUGAAAAGAAGUCGUUUAUUCACAGGAAGCGACGAGGGGAAAACCACUACGAUAUGGCUAAGGAACAAAUAUCAUUUAGUGAAGGUGCUGGUGUGGAGUUGUGUUCCCCUUGGUGUUGGCUCAGGCAGGCUCAGAGCUGCUUGUCACCGACGCAGUGAGCACUGCCACCAGCUGAUGCCAGGCUGCCCUGGGGACCAGCAUGGUGACAGCAGCAGUGGGGUAUGGCCGGGCCACCUGCCCCCCUCCCACUUCUUACCCCUGGGCUCUUACUCAGGCUGCCUCAGGACAAGGAAGUACGCCCAGCACUACACAAAGAAGUAAGCAGCAAUCACUGGCUUGCACAACCAUAGAAUCAUCAUAGAAUCAUAGAGUGGCUUGAGUUGGAUGGGACCUCAGGGAUCAUGAAGCUCCAACCGCCCUGCCACAUGCAAGUCCGCCAACCUCCAUAUCUAAUGUUAGACCAGGAUGCCCAGGGCCCCCUCCAGCCUGGUUGACGAGUUCCUCACUCUGGAUUGAUUCCACCAUUCCUGUGUCUGCAUCUUUCUGUAAAUUAAAUAAACCCUUUUCUCUCACUUUUUUCCCCCUCAUUCCACAUAAAAAUGCCUAAUUUUGUUUACUAGAAAGUUAAAUGGUUCUCCUCGUAAUUGAAAAGGCUGGAAAGAAAACAAAAAACACUGAGGGUUUGGUUUAAUACCUACUGUGCAGUCACAACAGCUUUUCAUGAUACAACUUAACAACAAGUUUCUUCAAGAAAGAGUUGGGAGAUUUCCUGAGGCAGGACUGCAGGGUCCAGCCUUCACCUAAGUCGCGCUGACAACAGAUUACUGCUACUGAAACAAAGUAAAGGGUCUUCAGGGCGAUUGUAAGUUUAGAGCCUUAGCAGGAGUGCGAAUGAGGCAGGUAAAAGUCAAAGCAAAAUUGCUGUUCCUGCUUAUCCAAGGGAAGCGUGGAGCUGUGUUAGCACACACGCAAAAAAAAAAACCCAACAAAAUAGCAAACAAGCACUGCUUACCAACGCUUCAAUAAAGGAUCCCUUGCGUCCCUGUUGGCUGAUUGGGUUCCAGCAGCCUUUGGGAGAACUUUUAUCUUUCCGCCGCUCUGAUUUAAGAUACGGAGUUACUUAAAAC